rnacentral:tRNA from 1 species
AGACAAUUAGUAUAAACAAAACACUUGAUUUCGGCUCAAAAGAUUGUGGUUAAACCCCAUAAUUGUUUA